UACGGAGGGUGCAAACGUUGCUCGGAAUCAUUGGGCGUAAAGCGCACGUAGGCGGUCCAGCAAGUCGGAUGUGAAAUCCCUCGGCUUAACUGAGGAAGUGCAUUCGAAACUGCUUGGCUUGAGUACCGGAGAGGAUGGUGGAAUUCCCGAAGUAGAGGUGAAAUUCGUAGAUAUCGGGAGGAACACCGGUGGCGAAGGCGACCAUCUGGACGGAUACUGACGCUGAGACGCGAAAGCGUGGGUAGCAAACAGG
rnacentral:rRNA from 1 species